UACGUAGGUGGCAAGCGUUGUCCGGAUUUACUGGGCGUAAAGAGCGCGCAGGCGGUCAGAUAAGUCGAAUGUGAAAGCCCCCGGCUCAACUGGGGAGGGUCAUUCGAUACUGUUCGACUCGAAGGCAGGAGAGGGAAGUGGAAUUCCCGGUGUAGUGGUGAAAUGCGUAGAUAUCGGGAGGAACACCAGUGGCGAAGGCGGCUUCCUGGUCCAGCACCGACGUUCAGGCACGAAAGCGUGGGGAGCAAACAGG
rnacentral:rRNA from 1 species